rnacentral:lncRNA from 1 species
GGGGAAGAGUAUUUUUUGUUUUUCUUUUUGGUUCACAAAGAACCUCAUAAGAUUAUUGCAGACUUCUGUCUCAUGAGCUGCUGUCCACACUGCCUGCGGAGCCUUGAAAACAAUAUAAGGGUCAACGAACCCAAUACUAUUGUCAUUUCUCAUUCUGAGCUCUCUCAUUUGGUGCCUGCAUAUAUACAUACAAAUCCUAAGUGUGUAAGGAUUAUAUACAUGUAAUUAAAGAAGUUAGAAGUAUAAUAAAAAGAAAAAAAAUACUUAGAGACAAAAGCAGCUGGC